AGCAGCCAUCAUUUAAAGAAAGCGUAAUAGCUCACUGGUCGAGUCGGCCUGCGCGGAAGAUGUAACGGGGCUAAACCAUGCACCGAAGCUGCGGCAGCGACACUAUGUGUUGUUGGGUAGGGGAGCGUUCUGUAAGCCUGCGAAGGUGUGCUGUGAGGCAUGCUGGAGGUAUCAGAAGUGCGAAUGCUGACAUAAGUAACGAUAAAGCGGGUGAAAAGCCCGCUCGCCGGAAGACCAAGGGUUCCUGUCCAACGUUAAUCGGGGCAGGGUGAGUCGACCCCUAAGGCGAGGCCGAAAGGCGUAGUCGAUGGGAAACAGGUUAAUAUUCCUGUACUUGGUGUUACUGCGAAGGGGGGACGGAGAAGGCUAUGUUAGCCGGGCGACGGUUGUCCCGGUUUAAGCAUGUAGGCUGAUUGUCCAGGCAAAUCCGGAUAAUCAAGGCUGAGGUGUGAUGACGAGGCACUACGGUGCUGAAGUAACAAAUGCCCUGCUU
rnacentral:rRNA from 1 species